AUUCAUUGGUACGGUGAGUAGUCUGUAGAAAACGUUUAAUUACAGAAUAUUGUCUAGUUAGUAAUCACAGCGUGAUUGUAAUGAUCCUGUGUUUUGGUUUCUUUUAGAUGGGCAGAAGUGGAAACACCCAGAAGGAAAAAAAUUAAACGCAUUCUAGACUCAGGUGUUUAUUAUAUAUUUAGUUUCAUUUCUCUGUUUUUGUCAAAAUGAGAAGAAGAAUUUUAGAUAAAACCAAGUCAUUAAAAUCAAAACAAUUUGAAUAAUAUGUCUCUCUGUUUUAGAUGAUGAAAGUCCCACCAGCACUGACCGUGUAGUAGCUCCAGCAAUGUCAAAUACAAAGGAGUCUAUGCUUCCCAAACAGCCCAGUUCCUCUCCUGUGCCUGAAAAAACAAGGUAUGUUUAGGAUUUUGAACAAUUUUGAAAACAAUACAAAUACAAGAAUACCACAGUUUACCGUGGUAUUUUGGCAAAAACUUACUAUAGUAAAGUUAUUUAAGGAAACGUCCCUGACUGUUUCCCUUUGUUUGCAGGCCGUGUGAAAAACUCAAUCCAUCAACCACAGGUACAAAUGUGUUUGUGUUUUUGAAAACAAAUGAACGAGAAGUAUUAUCAUUCCUUACUGUAAAGAAACGGUUUCAUUCUUUUCAGAAGCUGACGAUGAUGACACAGACAUUGAUUCAGAUGAUUCUCAGAGUUUGUUACAACCAGAAAUGUACCAUAUCACAGUUCCAUGUAGCAUUCUUAUGGACUCUGGACCCUCAGCAGAAUCAGAGUACAGUCUAGAACCUUCUUCACCUGCCGGUGCAGCCCCAGCAGCUAUGUGCACCUCACCUGGGUCUGUCGCGGCCCCUGAACUAGAGGAAACACCAUCCACAAGCAGAACUUCUCCACCGCCCAGAGCUCAAACCACUGACCCUACGCCUAACCAGGACCGUGCCAGCGAUGGUCCCACAGGUCAGCCCGGAUCACCCCCGCAUUCAAGCCCCACUGUUGACGUUUUAGCAGUGUCAAUAUCUGCAGUACAAACACUCUCACUCUUAGUACAAGCAUCUCACUUAAAAUCUGAGCAGCUACCAGAACCUUCUCCUCCGGCAGGGGUUUCUUCAUCACCAGGUCGUCCCGCUGCAGCAGAUGCUUCUGAUGUGGGUACCACAGAGAAAUCCCAGUCCAGUGCUGCCAUAUUCUGGACCAGAUGUAAUGAGGCUGGGUGGACUAAAGAAGUCUUCUCAGAGCUCGUGUCUCAGCUGAGCAGCCUAGGAGAAAGAGUGCUGUCACAGGAAGCCUGCCACCAAGACCUGGAGAAACAGGAAAGGGAUUUGCAGAGGAAAAAAGCAGCAUUGAGGGAUGCCAAAGCUGUACUAGAUGUUUAAUAUAACAAUCUAACAGAAUUAAGAUGUUUUAUCGUUUUUAAAAAUGUUUUUUUAAAGUCCAGAACAUUUCUGCAGUUUGCAUACAUCAGAUGGUUUUGAUCAGACAUUUUUUACAUCAGUAAUAGAAAUCUCAUGAAAUAUAUCUACA
rnacentral:lncRNA from 1 species